rnacentral:rRNA from 1 species
CCUACGGGGUGCAGCAGUCGGGAAUAUUGCGCAAUGGAGGAAACUCUGACGCAGUGACGCCGCGUGCAGGAAGAAGGUUUUCGGAUUGUAAACUGCUUUUGAUAGAGAAGAAAAAAGACAGUAGCUGUAGUAUAAGCUCCGACUAACUGCGUGCCCGCAGCCGCGGUACUACGCCGGGAGCACGCGUUAUCCGGAUUUAUUGGGUGUAAAGGGUGCGUAGACGGAAAAGCAAGUUAGUGGUGAAAUCCCUCGGCUUAACUGAGGAACUGCAACUAAAACUACUUCCCUUGAGUAGUGGAGAGGAAAGGGGAAUGCCUAGUGUAGCGGUGAAAUGCGUAGAUAGUAGGAGGAACACCAGUGGCGAAGGCGACUUUCUGGACAGUAACUGACGUUGAGGCACGAAAGUGUGGGGAGCAAACAGGAUUAGAUACCCGGGUAGGC